UACGAAGGGGGCAAGCGUUGUUCGGAUUUACUGGGCGUAAAGCGUACGUAGGCGGAUAAUUAAGUCAGGGGUGAAAUCCCGAGGCUCAACCUCGGAACUGCCUUUGAUACUGGUUAUCUUGAGUCCGGGAGAGGUGAGUGGAACUCCUAGUGUAGAGGUGAAAUUCGUAGAUAUUAGGAAGAACACCAGUGGCGAAGGCGGCUCACUGGCCCGGAACUGACGCUGAGGUACGAAAGCGUGGGGAGCAACAGG
rnacentral:rRNA from 1 species